GAGCAUGCGUAGCGGCAAUAUAGUAAUCGAUGAGAUUUUUUUCCAAGGUGCGAUUAUUGCUAGUUGAAAACUAAUAUCAAUAUCCCGCCUUGAGGACGUGAAACACUGUCCGCGAUGGCAUUUUUUAAAAUUUUGUAAGAGG
rnacentral:snRNA from 1 species